rnacentral:rRNA from 1 species
CAAUAGCGUAUAUUAACGUUGUUGCAGUUAAAAAGCUCGUAGUUGGAUUUCUGGAGGGAGCGUCGGCCCGUAUUUACGAGUGCGUGACGUCUCUGUCCAUCCUUGCGGGAAGGCACGGCAUUGAUUUGUUGUGUCGGAUCGCAUCAUUUACUGUGAAAAAAUUAGAGUGUUCAAAGCGGGCUUUCGCUUGAAUACAUUAGCAUGGAAUAAUAAGAUAGGACUUUGGUGCUAUUUUGUUGGUUGAGCCUAAAGUAAUGAUUAAUAGGGAUAGUUGGGGGCACCUGUAUUGCGUUGUCAGAGGUGAAAUUCUUGGAUUUACGCAAGACAAACAGCUGCGAAAGCGUCUGCCAAGGAUGUUUUCAUUAA